rnacentral:rRNA from 1 species
UACGUAGGGUGCGAGCGUUGUCCGGAAUUAUUGGGCGUAAAGAGCUCGUAGGCGGUUUGUCGCGUCUGCUGUGAAAACGCGAGGCUCAACCCCGGGCCUGCAGCCGAUACGGGCAAGCUAGAAUUCGGUAGGGGAGACUGGAAUUCCUGGUGUAGCGGUGAAAUGCGCAGAUAUCAGGAGGAACACCGGUGGCGAAGGCGGGUCUCUGGGCCGAUAUUGACGCUGAGGAGCGAAAGCGUGGGAGCAAACAGG